AUUGAACGCUGGCGGCAUGCUUUACACAUGCAAGUCGAACGGCAGCGCGGGCUUCGGCCUGGCGGCGAGUGGCGAACGGGUGAGUAAUACAUCGGAACGUGCCCAGUAGUGGGGGAUAGCUCGGCGAAAGCCGGAUUAAUACCGCAUACGACCUGAGGGUGAAAGCGGGGGAUCUUCGGACCUCGCGCUAUUGGAGCGGCCGAUGGCAGAUUAGCUAGUUGGUGGGGUAAAGGCCUACCAAGGCGACGAUCUGUAGCUGGUCUGAGAGGACGACCAGCCACACUUGGACUGAGACACGGCCCAGACUCCUACGGGAGGCAGCAGUGGGGAAUUUUGGACAAUGGGCGAAAGCCUGAUCCAGCAAUGCCGCGUGUGUGAUGAAGGCCUUCGGGUUGUAAAGCACUUUUGGCGGGAACGAAAAGGACUGUGCCAAUACCACGGUUCGAUGACGGUACCCGCAGAAUAAGCACCGGCUAACUACGUG
rnacentral:rRNA from 1 species